AUCUCUUCUGCCUGCAGAGAACAACACAACAAAGGGGAAGAAGUGACCAUGGAUGAGGAAGUCCUACAGUACCCGUGUGUGUACUCCUUUUCCCAGAGAUCUGCCAUUUUUCUGCACUGGCAGAUGUAACAUGGUGAAGUCACAAGAUUUUGCAUUAAGUUUUCUUUAGAGAAUUCAACAAGACAAUUUCUUUUAUAAGAGACCUGUAUC